rnacentral:lncRNA from 1 species
UGUUGCACAUGUUUGAUUCUGAUGUUGUGUAAAUCAGUUGACAAGAGAUUUGAGUUUCAGUACUUUGCAGUCUGCAUAUUACAGAACAAGAAGGGUGUGAGGAGAUUCUGUAAUAAUGAAAGAGUCGGGAAAAAAAUAAGAACAACAUAUUAUUUUUCUAUUCCAAGUCUUACAUGGUCAGAUCUCUCUCUCUCUCUCUCUAUAUAUAUAUAUAUAUAUGUGUG